AAUCCUCCACACUCAUUUUGCGCAUUUGUAGUUGAAGAGCACUAGUUCUUGAUGCACCACAAGUAACAGAUAUCAAUUUGGUACGCUCUCUUCUUAUAUAACCAAUUAAUUACAUGACGGGAUUUUCAAAAUGUAUGUAUGUAUAUGUGUGUGUGUAUUUAGUCUGUUUACUCAAAACUGUAUUUAGUUCAUAUCUUUUUGUAUCAUGAUUUUUUGAAGUACUUUUUUGGAGAUUCUGUCUUGUUAAGAAGAACACGCAAGCGGAAGCUAUGGAUAAUUUUUUUUUUCGGUUAAAUUUAUACAGAAAUCUAUAUUUUUUUUCAAGCGUGUAAGUAGUACUUCAAUAAGUUAUGGUUGAAAUAGGUACAACAUAAAUAUUUAAAAAAAAACAACCUAAUAGUACGGCUAACAAUACACGUAAUACCGGUAAUUAUUCCAGCACUGAUUUGCUGGUAAAUCGGUAGGAAAUAUGUAUGUGAUUGUGAAUUCUAAAAAAAGACAAAGGGAAACAUGUGAUAUUUUAAAAAAUAUAUUAUUUAUCCCUAUUUCUAAUAAAUUCUCGCACUCAUUCGUCUUAUGGUCACCAAUUAUUAGGUAUUUUGAAAAAGGAAGCAACUGCAAGUAUGCCUGUACCCAAAAAUAUGCGAUGAGAAAACGAAAGUAGCUUCCUGCACCAAUCACAAUACACAACAUUUUGUUGGGACUAAAACACUACAAUAGGCGGCAUUAGAUGUUCUAUUAAUGCUACAGACCUACAUGUCAGUGGAAAGUCAGUAGAUUUUUAAAUAAUUUAGAUAGUUUAUUUUUGUCAGUUAAUAUGUUGUAAAUUAUUGUGCUACGUUCUUGCAACAGGUCGACAAUAAAAUUGUUUUCAAUGUAUCCCAACAUUUUGACCAGGAGCUUGCUUCACUUGGAAGAGAUCCCCGCCUGAACUGCCACAUUGUAACAGCGCCCCCGGAGAUUGGAUGGCCCGCAUUGCCGAGUGACACCGUGUACUAUUUUGUGAUUAGUGUGAUAUAUAGGCCACUGCCACUACGGGAAACUUUUUUAACAAACCUUAAAGUUGCAUGAAUUUAUAUUAUGCUACAACAUUGCCAUUAUUGCAUGACCUUUUUGGUAUACUAACCAAGAUUAGGCACACAUAAAAUUUGUCGAGGAAACGCCUUUUCAAUAAGAUAAGCAUUAUUCUUCUUAGGAUCCUCCUUAUCUUGCUUAAAUGCAACGGGGAAUUCUAAUCAACGCGUCCGUGUCGUCGAAGAUGAGCGAUAGCGUUAAUGAAACAUGAUUAGUUUCUGGAUUAAAAAGCAUAGACAAUGCUUGCUACAAUGUCAAGUUCUAUUGCGUUUUUUUGCAACACAAAACUAAACUAGUAUAACGUUUUUAUCGUCUUGUAAUAGUAACCACCAAGGUCAAAAAUAAAAUAGUUUUCAAACCCGGAUGCAAGGUAAAACAUUAUGCUAAGGAUAGACAAAGUAAUACUAGCUAAUGAGAGAUUUACGAAUUAGGUCUGGAUUGCUAUAGUCUAGGUCAUAAUCGGCAGUGGCAUACGCAGAUUGAUAUAAUAUUGAACACCGAAUGAGGUUGGGAUCAUACACAUUGUGUGUCAAAUCCAUAGAAUUGCAUGACUCAAAAUUAAUGUAGUGUAUAUAAUAAAUAUUUAAAAUAGGAUAGAAAAUGAGUUAAAUGCAUGACUUACCCUGCGUGUAGCCUGGUUUAUAUGGGAAUGCUUCGCAUGUAAGUUUAAAAAUGCAAUCAGAAAAAGACCCAUUAAAACCAUGCCAUUUUCACUCUAAUUUAUUGAGUCGUUUCAUGUAAAAAUAGUCAAGUCAAUCUAUAAUUAUGCACUUCAUUUUAGUAGACCAAAGCAUUGAAGAUUAUCCGUUUUAUUCUCCCUUAGUGUUUAAUAAUUUACAUAAAUAUUAGAACAUUUAACUUUGAGUAUUUGUGUGUGGUGUUGCUUAUUCCUGGCUCAGGGCAGCCCAUUUUCUUUCAGACAAAUUCGCUUAAAUAGUUCUUUUCGUUACAUCGGAGUAGAGCAUGAAACAACGCUGCAACGAUGUCGGUUGGUGGAUUCCCCUCCCUUAUCACCGAUGUCAUUUUACCGGCUCAGACGAUCUCGUUUAAAAAAAAUAAUCAAAUAAUUUAAUUGAAUUUUUAGCCUCCUCCUUACUUCCUCGCUAGAUGAUUUUUAAGAUACUGUCUGUCGAAUAAUAAGCUUGCAAGAAUAAAGUUCAAUAUUUGAAUUGCAUGAUUUUAUAUUUGAACCUUAAUAAUUUAUUGACUUAGCUUGUCAUGCAGUUAACAUAAAGAAUGCCUGUAUUAUAAUAUAUUAUCUUAUAUAGAUAUAUAUAUUUAUAUAUAUAUAAUCUUAUAUAUAUUUAUAUAUAUAUUUGUA
rnacentral:lncRNA from 1 species